rnacentral:rRNA from 1 species
AGCCGGAGCUUAUUNUCCAGGUACUGUCAUUAUCAUCCCUCGGUAAAAGAAGCUUUACAACCCUAAGGCCUUCAUCACUCACGCGGCAUUGCUGGAUCAGGCUUUCGCCCAUUGUCCAAUAUUCCCC